AUGAAUAAACUUGGUCAGGCUGUUGCUGGUCCUUCGGGGCAUGUGCACGCUUGCCACCAAUUUUAACCACCUGUGCACCCUUUGUAGACUGGAAACUAUUCUCGAGGCAACUCGGAUUGAGGAUUGCUGUGCGAAAGCCAGCUGUUCUUGUGUUUCUCGGUCUAUGUUUUUUAUAUACUCCGAAUGUAUGUAUCAGAAUGUAUUGCUGGGCCUCAGUGCCUGUAAAUCAUAUA
rnacentral:misc_RNA from 1 species